AUGAAGGUCCUAGGACCAGGAGAUCCAAAGAUCAAAAGAAAAAGAAAAACAUCAACCCUAAUGGCUGCAACAAAACACUCCAUACAAUCCACAUUAGACAACGCAGCUCCGACUCCGAAGAUGAACCACAAAGAAAGGAGGCAAGGUUGGCGUCACAAGGGAUCACCGAACGAGCCACCUGACACGCGUCAUCGUAUACCAGCGGCCCCCCACCGCAGCUUCGACUUCACAGCAACGGGCAGUCGAGGCAUUCCCAUGGACACGCCGGAGAAGAAGAGCCGACUACCACGACCAAAGCCGCGCCUCCGACGUUGCUCACCACCGUCGUCGUUGCCACAGAAGCCACCGUGCACGUCCAGUCAUAGGAAGCACCAAAGGGAUCAAAUUCUUCAAGACGGCACCCUAAAGAGGGGAACUGCGUUGAAGACGACGACACCGCCCGACCCUGUAGCAGGAUCUGGGCUUUCACCCGAAGGACUUGAUCCAGGAGUAGAGGCUGUGAAGAUUCCUGACGACGCCUCCAAGGAGGAUAGCGACGCCCACAGGCGCCGUCGUCGUCGGCCGGUCAGCACCGGCCAGGCUUUCACCCGGUGCAGCCACUCCCACGCAGCAGGCCGAGGUCGACCCGUACCUCCAUUGGACCGCGCACCCCCAACACAACGAGCACGCCACUGCUGUGUAGGGCCACCCGCAAACCUCCUCGAUGACGGGCCUGCAGAGACCAGAUCGGGCCCUGCACCCCGCAUCCAACCGCGGCAGAGCCACACAGCUCCAACAAGCGGCAACCGGGCACCACCACCAGCCGGCAGUGCCCUUCCCGGGCCGCCAGCCAUGGACCUCCGACCAGCAGCCGUCUCCUUCCGGCCCCCUGUACUCCAAAGCAGCAGAACGGGGCAAAGAAAACUACCCAUCUUGCGCUGCCAAGGCCGGAUCCGUGGCGUCCAGGCAUGCCCGCAGGGCCGCCGAGCGAAGACCACCGGCCGCCGCCCGCCAGAUCUGCACCGGCGACCAACACGCCGCACCCAUGGCCGCACUCCGCGCCCAGCCACACGCCUCCUCGCGCCCCGCCGCGCCCAGCCCGCGCCUCCACCCUGCUCGCAGGCCAGCAUCACCGCUGCCUUGACCUCAUGCCGCCGCGACGCCGCUGCCGACGGCCCGCCUCCUCACCAGAUCCAGGCGCGAGGGCCCCGGAUCCUCCGCCUCGCAGGCAGCCGCCGGACCACCUCCGCGAGGGAGGCGCACGCCAACCCCGCGCGCGACCUGGGGCCGCUGCCCCAGCCUUCCAGCGCCAGCCAACGCCAUCCCGAGCGCCAACGUGCCAGAGCUCCCUCCAGGAGCGGCCGGCCCGCGCCGUACCAUCUCCAGCGGAAAGGGGAAAAAGGGCCCCGCCGCCGCCGAGCCGCUGGCUUUGCCCGACGACUCCUGCCGGCGGCGGCGAAGGGCGGGGGCGCGGUGGUUGUGGCUUGCGGCGGCGGCUAG
rnacentral:rRNA from 1 species